rnacentral:rRNA from 1 species
UACGUAGGGGGCUAGCGUUGUCCGGAAUCAUUGGGCGUAAAGCGCGCGUAGGCGGCCCGGUAAGUCCGCUGUAAAAGUCCAGGGCUCAACCCUGGAAAGCCGGUGGAUACUGCCGGGCUAGAGUCCGGAAGAGGCGAGUGGAAUUCCUGGUGUAGCGGUGGAAUGCGCAGAUAUCAGGAGGAACACCUGUGGCGAAAGCGGCGCACUGGACCACAUUGACGCUGAGGCGCGAAAGCUAGGGGAGCAAACAGG